rnacentral:rRNA from 1 species
UACGUAGGGGGCUAGCGUUGUUCGGAAUUACUGGGCGUAAAGGGCUCGUAGGCGGCCAACUAAGUCCGACGUGAAAUCCCAAGGCUUAACCUUGGAACUGCGUCGGAUACUGGAUGGCUUGAAUUCGGGAGAGGGAUGCAGAAUUCCAGGUGUAGCGGUGAAAUGCGUAGAUAUCUGGAGGAAUACCGGUGGCGAAGGCGGCAUCCUGGACCGACAUUGACGCUGAGGAGCGAAAGCUAGGGGAGCAAACGGG